GGAAAUGCGUGGUCACUAUUCAAUGGUAAAGGCUGGUCACCACUGUUGCCAGUGAUUGGUUUAGCAGGCAUUUCCUAGCUCAGUUCCAAAACAGCAUCAAGGGACGCACAGCAAGCUGGAAAAGCUCCGAGACAACACUCAUUGUAGGAUGCCGAAGAUGAACUUUCUGGGGAAAAAAGACAAAGAAAUUCCAUACCAGCGACCAAAGGUUCUCCACUGGCAAGCUUAUCAAAAAGGGGCUGCUUCUAGAACACUCCACAAUCAGCUAUUACCAGCAGAUGUAGUGGCCAUAUCCUUAUUUCCUCAGCAGCAUCAUUGCAAAAACAAAGUGUUAAACAUCACCUACUGAAUUCCCUGAGCUGUCCCUUAAGGCCCAGGCUUUCUUAAGUAGGCUAAAUAAAGGGACUUCAUAAUGGAAGAAUCCCCAACAAACAGACAUCUGGAUUAUCAAGGUGCAUUGUGUACAUACAGAAAUUCACACAUGGCAUGGAGAUUUGACUUUCCCUUGGAUUAGAUUAGAUAAUCUACAAAUGAAAAGAACAGUAAACAA